rnacentral:misc_RNA from 1 species
UUUCCGUAGGUGAACCUGCGGAAGGAUCAUUAGUGAAUUGAAUAUGUUAGCGGACCUCUUCGGAGUCCCUAGCAUCAAAUCAUAUCCAUAACACCUGUGAACUGUAAGGCUGUCUUAAAACGAAAGUGAUUAGAGCGCCUGCCCAUUUUAUACAAACAUUAAAGUAACAAACGUAGUCUUAUUAUAAUCUAAUAAAACUUUCAACAACGGAUCUCUUGGCUCUC